UUGCUUCGGCAGCACAUAUUCUAAAUUUGGAAAAAUACAUAGAAGGUUAGCAUGGCUCCUGUACAAGGAUAAAAAGCAAAUUUGUGAAAUGUUCCAUACAACA